CCAUUAUCUAAUCCAUCUCCAGACCCUAAGGGAGAAAGAGAUCAUGACGUUCAGUGGGCCCUUCUCUCAUCUCUUUCUGAUUCUAGAUGAUUACACUGGUUCAGCUGAUUUAGAUGCUUGGCCAGACCCAGCUUUUGUACCUCAGGUGGAACCUAGAGGAAAGUCCCUGCAAAGAAAGAGUCUUUGCCCCCCCUGCACGCACACACACAGACACACCCUUCUCUUUUCCUUCCACCUCUAUCCUCUUUUCCUUCUGUUCUCUUUCUCUGCCUUCUCUUUCCACUUGCAUAAUUGCAGCGCGUGUUUCAAAUUCGUGGAUAAUUUGUGCAACAGCGCCCUUCUUCCCGAGCCCAGCUCUGUGUUGCCUCUGUUACUCAAUGGCCUGAGGUGUUGUGGGCCCACAGAGCUAGAAAUAAUCCACUUAGGGAUUGUUUAGGCACUAUAAAUGCUGCCCAGGGAACUUGUGGCUGCCCCUUCCUUGUUGGUGUUAAAGGCCAGGGGGGUGGUGGUCGCCUGACCCAGUGGGUGGUAUCCCUGCACAUGGCAGUGGGGUUGGAGCUCUAACAUCUUUAAUGUUCCUUCCAGAACAAACCUUUCCAUGCUCAUGUGAUGUGAAAAUCUCUACUGCGGUUUCCUGUUGAUCGAGGUGACUGGGAAUCAACCCCACAGUGGCCUUAGCAAGGGCCAGAGCUCUGAGCCCAGCCCAGGUGGACCUCGGCUUUCACAGCAGGACGGAGCUGCCUGACAGAAUGUGCUCCCUGUGACUCUGCUGACUUAUCCAGCCCUUAAGGGCUUCCCGGAACAGCAGCCUCACACAGCCCUGGUGCAGCACAGCACAGGAGGAGCAGCCCACAGGGAUCCCCCAGCCAAUGUCAGGGGGCCAAGAGGUGACAAUGUUGCACGUAUUGUUGCACUCUGAGCUUACAAAACACAGCUGUGACUGUCCCGUGCCACCAGCAUUGCUCUGUGUAAUAAAGAGCAUGGCAGGAUUGGGUGGAAGAAGCAACCCACUGAUAUUCCUGCCCUGCCACUGGAUACAAGUGCUACACACAAUGAUUGUAAGCAGCACAGAAACAGUGACAGCGAUAGCUCCUUUUAAUCAGCUCAGUGGGACAUCUUUCAUGUGGACGCCAUAGUUGUUGGCUGUGGCCGUGUCUCCUGCUGCACCACGUGGGCCGGGUUCUGCAGGCACUCCCACUUGUGCUGAGCCCACCCAGCCUCACCUAGCGCCGGCGUUUCAGUUCUGGAGCAUCCCAGCCCUGCGGCAGCUUUGUUUGGAUGCUGCCAGUCUGCUGCUCGUGCCCUGUGGUGGUGCAGGCGGGCACUGGGCACUCGGGCCUCUGUCUGCAUGGACGUCACCAAAUAGAGCGCUCAGUUCAAUAGUUGGUUGGUCUGAAACGUGUCCUGCUACGUUCUGUUCAGGUCCUGCGAGACAGGGAAAGCGGGACGAGGAAGAGAUUUGCUGCAGUUUUCUCAUGUUCUCAAGGCAAUGACAGGGGACAACGAAGUGCCUGAGAUCAAUGGAGAGCCUGUGGACGGGGCUGUGUUUGAGGAGGACAGCAGCUGCACACUGCCCAUCUCCCGUGAAGGCACAGAGGACGUGCAAGCAGCUGGUGCUCCAGGUAAAGGCCGUGCACAGAGCUCUGUGCCUGACCGUUACAGGUUCUGUUGUUGUGCUGCUAAUAACUGUGUGUUGCAUUUGCAUCUGGUGGUGGAGAAAGAAACAUCAGUGAGUUGCUCCCCCAUCCCCAUCCCACCACACUCUUUAUUCCAACGCUGCUCUGUGUGGUGCCGGGAGGAAGGAGAGUGGGGGGCUCUCCCAGUCCCUCAGCACUUCCUGUCUCUGCAGGCGCCUCACUGAAGCUGUCAAAACCCGGUAUGCUGCCUGCAAAUGCUCAUCACAUGCAGACACACAGCCCGAAACAAAGCAGCAGACAGACAGAAUUGGCACCAGCGGCCUCUACAUGUGCCAGCGCAUCCAGGGGGGUCGGCAUGGGCAGCUCUGGUGGUGUUCUGGGGGACAGCAGGAAAGGCCCGCAGGGCAGCAACUCUGAGAACUGCCCAGAGCAUGCUGGCUGCCUCCACAACAGGUCACUGCUUUCCCACAGCCACCCGGUGCGGACAGCCUGCCGCCCGCUGCGCAGCCCCCAAACUCACCUCCUGAUUCCAGCGCUGCGCUGCUGCAGCCGAGCGGAGCCGUGGCGGGAUGGGGGCACACGUUGGUGGGCGCUGGGUGCCGCUGCUCCUGGGUGUGCGCCACGGCAUCUGCAAAGGGCCCCGUCGCCUGCUCCCAGCUGGCGGGCAGGGUGCAGGGCCCGGGGAGCACCCGCAGCUGCACUGGAGGUGCUCGGAGGACUGUGGAGGGG
rnacentral:lncRNA from 1 species